AUUGAACGCUGGCGGCAGGCUUAACACAUGCAAGUCGAGCGGGGUGAUGGUGCUUGCACUAUCACUUAGCGGCGGACGGGUGAGUAAUGCUUAGGAAUCUGCCUAUUAGUGGGGGACAACAUCUCGAAAGGGAUGCUAAUACCGCAUACGUCCUACGGGAGAAAGCAGGGGAUCACUUGUGACCUUGCGCUAAUAGAUGAGCCUAAGUCGGAUUAGCUAGUUGGUGGGGUAAAGGCCUACCAAGGCGACGAUCUGUAGCGGGUCUGAGAGGAUGAUCCGCCACCCUGGGACUGAGACACGGCCCAGACUCCUACGGGAGGCAGCAGUGGGGAAUAUUGGACAAUGGGGGGAACCCUGAUCCAGCCAUGCCGCGUGUGUGAAGAAGGCCUUAUGGUUGUAAAGCACUUUGAGCGAGGAGGAGGCUCUUUUGGUUAAUACCCAAGAUGAGUGGACGUUACUCGCAGAAUAAGCACCGGCUAACUCUGUGCCAGCAGCCGCCGUAA
rnacentral:rRNA from 1 species